GCUCACUUGCGAUACCAGACCUUAAGACUCAUGAGGCGUGGUCAAAGAUGAGACAAGGGUGGGGAUAAAACAUCAGGGGUCAUAGCAAACAAUCCACUUGAAGGGUUUUGGUAUGUCCUUUCUGAGCUAGAGGCCGACAGCACAGGUCUGGGAGUAUAUAGAAAAGCCGUCCUGCUCUGUCUGCCACCAGGCCCCCCCUCCCCCUCUGCUUAGCUGGCCCUCAAACUGCUCACCUAAUUCACAGAUCUUCCCAGGCAAAGGCUGACUACUUCCUUCCCUCCUCCUUCCUGUCUUCCUGUGACUGAGCAGGAACAAUAAGAAGAGGUGUGGGUCUCCAGAGAAGACAGGAUCAAAGCUGCAGCUCAAAACAGACCUUUCUGGGCAUGGGACCACCAACUAACUGCUAUAAGUCACUCUGACUCUCACCUGUCAAACUGUUAAGAGACAGCUGACCCCAGCAGAUGCUAAGAGGUUAAGAAGAGCAGUGGUGCUGACGUCACCUCCACACUACUGAGACCUGUGUUGUUCCGCGCAAUGGAACCAGGGCAGAGAAGCUCCAGCAUCAUCAUCUACGGCAGGGACGGAGGACCAGAAGCCUGAGUGUACAUGGAAGAGCCUGGAUGUUAUGUACUGCAUACCAGUGUGCCCUGUGCCUGUGGAGGCUGGAAGAGGGCACUGGUUCUCCAGGAUCUGCAGUUACAGAUAGCUGUGAGCCUCCUGGUGGUGGUGACUCUCAUCACCAUUACAAGUACUCCUUUCCACACCCAAACAGCAGGAACAAGAGGAGAGAGGGGUGUCCAGGUCAACCACCACACGGCACACCGCCUGAGUGUCCUGGGAUGUGGGUGUGAAACCUGAGGAAAAGCUGUAAGCCAAUGUGUAAUCCAGUAUGCAACAGUGACUAAAUUAACAGGGCGAGCUCUAAAAUAAUGGGGUAAACUCAUUUUCCUGGAAACCCACAGGAGUCCCACACAGGCAGUACCACCAUCAGGCUACACAGAUGCUUACUUUUAGCUUUUUUUUUUCUUCUCUAAAUUUGUGGACUUUUGAUGACAAUAAAUGUGGUACAUAAUCGUUAUUAAAAUGUUUUAAAAUUAUCAAAACAUAGCAAAGGGGAAUUUCCAAGGUCACACUAUCCAAAAGCAGGUAUUGCUAGCAGCUGGGACUGUACCACUCUGGAUUUAUUUUUAGAGUCUACUUAAACAAGAAACCAAUAACUCAGUGUCUGGUAUGAGUGACACUUUGCUGUUUAUUUCAUGACUCAUUUUCUCUUUGCUAUUUUGAUUUCAUCCUUAUGAAUUUAUUUCUAUGUCAUAGACAUAAAAUGACUUCACACCACAUGCUGUUAAUAUUCCAGUCACCACUUAACCUAAUCUAACCAAUUCUCUAUGAAACAGUGUUAUAGUUUAAUGUUCUAAAUACAAAUAAGCAACAGAAAAGUUUGACUGUGGUAUACCAGUUUGGUAAUGCUUGCCUGGCAUGUAUGGGGCUUUAGUUCCAAUCACCAGUACUGC